CUCACGUGUAAUAAAUGACUAAUUUAUCCUUUUUCUUAACUGAGGUCCCUUUCCUUCAUUUUCACCUGUAAAUACCGAACAAAAAUAUUAAUUGAGGCAGUCAGCUAGACCUUUACCCUCUUCUACAUAUCUUCCUUCUUUUGUUUUUAAUCUAACUAAUCCUUGUUUUACUUUUCUUUUCUCAUUUAUGUAUCUAAAAAAAGGUUUUGUCCCCCUUUUUUUACUGACUGCGCUAUUUUCUCUUCUGUGUGUGAUUUGGAAGCUCUUAUAACUUGCUUAGCCUCUUUCUGC